CCUGGUCCUGGGCACUGCCAGGGUGUCCAAGCCCCCAGGAAAACUCUCCAGACAUCAAUUUGUUUUCUGCAGAUGCAUCAGGAGGGAACAGCAGAAGUGACUCCAAAACCACGGUCUGGGAACAAGCUGAAAUGUCUCCUGGAGGAAUGCAGACAAUAUUCCCAGAGGAGGAGGAGCUGGAAGCCCCUUCUGUGCAAGGUCUGCUGUGCCCCUUUGGGUGUUUCGAGCUCUGUCCACCUGUCUGUCCCCUCAUUAGCAGCAGAGAUGUUUGUAAUUAGGAGCAGGGUGGCUCUGUUUUCUCCACAUGGAUCAAAAUGCAGCUAAGACAAAACUGAACAGAAAAUCUCCAAGUGUCUCCAGGGACUGUGGCACUGGAAGGGGAGGAGCAGCAUCACCUCUUUGCAGUUCUGAGGGUGCUGUGUGAUGUUUAAGGCUUCCAAUGAUGCCCAAACACCACCUGACAAACCCAGGCAGGGAUGUUUUCUGUGUUAUGGAGAGAUCUCUGUUCCACUGAGGCGUUUUGGGCAUGGAGAUGCUCUUUUGGUAUUUUUUUUGCCAGCUGGGUGUGCAACAGGAUGAGCAGGAGCAGGACCUGCAGGAAUUGCAGCUUUGGGAAGGGCAGGACCAGCCCCCUGAGGCUCCCCAAGGCAGGCGAGGCUGGGGAAGCUGCCUGGAAAUGCCCCAGGGAGUUCCUGCCAGGGAUGGGAACAGAACAUCCCGAGCCUCACACUUGUGCUUCAACAGCAGCUUUUUGUCUUCCAGCUCAAAAGGAAAUGCAUCAUUUGUGAGCUUCACACCAAACUGGGAUUGCAAAGGUGCACGUGGAUAUUUGGUUUACCACAAAAUCCACCCUGGCAACUCAAGGCAAAGCAUCCUGGCAGGUCUGAGCUGCUUUCUGAAAGGUUCGAGAGAAAUGAGCUGUGUGAUUUCAUUUGUAGAAAAGUCUUUUGAUAGAGUUUGGUAAUCAGAGAUGGACUCGGGGAUUUGGAGGCUUUCCCCAGCCUUAAUGAUUCUAUGAUAUUGAACAGAAAUUCCCAAUUCACUUCUCUGCUUUGUAGGGAUAAGGAGAUGGAAAUAGUUAAUAAUUUUGAAUAAAAUUAACUUUCCUUUAGCAAAACAAACAGCAACAAAAAGCUGUGGUAAUUCUCUUGCAGCUUUCCAAAGCAAUUAUGCUGUAAUGACUGCUGAAGAGAUUUUCGUGUUGUUUCAAACACUGGUUGGAACAACUGGAAGCUACAAAUUUUUUCUCAUUGUGACUUUAUUAUCUGAAAGGAAAUGACUAAUUUGGAGUUGGUUAUUAUUGUUUUAUAGCCCAUGAAAUAUAAGUAUCUAAGUAAACAUUUCCAUGAAUUUAAAUAUUUAAUACACAAAAUGUGAAAUACAUAAGCCCUCGGCUUCUGAGCCAGAUUUUACUGUAUUACUAUUAUUAUAUUUAUGCCAGAAAAUAAAUGUUCUCUCU